AGCGAACGCUGGCGGCAGGCCUAACACAUGCAAGUCGAACGGCAGCAUAGUAAGAGCUUGCUCUUACGGGCGGCGAGUGGCGGACGGGUGAGGAAUAUAUCGGAAUCUACUCUUUCGUGGGGGCUAACGUAGGGAAACUUACGCUAAUACCGCAUAUGACCUACGGGUGAAAGCAGGGGUUCUUCGGACCUUGUGCGAUUGAAUGAGCCGAUGUUGGAUUAGCUAGUUGGCGGGGUAAAGGCCAACCAAGGCGACGAUCCAUAGCUGGUCUGAGAGGGUGAUCAGCCACACUGGAACUGAGACACGGCCCAGACUCCUACGGGAGGCAGCAGUGGGGAAUAUUGGGCAAUGGGCGCAAGCCUGAUCCAGCCAUACCGCGUGAGUGAAGAAGGCCUUCGGGUUGUAAAGCCCUGUUGUUAGGAAAGAAAAGCAGCAGAUUAACACCCCACUGUACUGACGGUACCCAAAGAAUAAGCACCGGCUAACUUCGUG
rnacentral:rRNA from 1 species